GGAGAGCAUCUUUGGGCUUUCUGGCAUCCUGUUGUCUCUUCUUCUAUCUCACAUGGGUCUGGAAUUCACACAGGUCCUGCAGCAUGCAAGGGUAGGCUGAACACACAACAUUUGAAGGCAGAUGUCAUCUCAUGGAGCAUUCGGCAAAACUCCCAGAGAGUCUGGAAGCAAAACAGGAUACGAUGAACUAAAGAUUCUCACUUAUCAAUGAUAAAGACACCUUAAAAAAGGGAAGAAGAGAAGAACCAGUUAUCUGUGGAAUUUAUGAUUCUAUAGGCAGGGGCCCUGUUUGUGGAAAACAGCCACAGAACUUCAUGGGAGAGGAACAAAAACUGGUUCUGGCUUGUGGACAACCCAAGAAUUGUCAUGGCCCAGGCGCAUCCACCGACCCUCCCAAUGGCCCCAGGAAACACGCAGGAACUGAGCAUCUCAGGCAGCAGGGAAGGGACUGCUGUGGCCUGGAGAGGUGGCAGGGAACUGACCUCUGGCUUUAUGGGUCUGUGACCCAAGGAUGUUGGCUGAGCCAUCAGGAGCUUGCAACUGGUUUUGGUGAGUCUGCAGAGUGUCAGGCCUCACAGAUGAAGUUGGGUCCAUGUGAGAUGAUUGCAC
rnacentral:lncRNA from 1 species